rnacentral:rRNA from 1 species
AACGCUAGCUACAGGCUUAACACAUGCAAGUCGUGGGGCAGCAUGACUGAAGCUUGCUUCAGUUGAUGGCGACCGGCGCACGGGUGAGUAACGCGUAUCCAACCUUCCCAUGACAGGGGAAUAACCUUGCGAAAGUAAGACUAAUGCCCCAUGGUCUCCGACGACGGCAUCAGACUCGGAGUAAAGGCGUGAGCCGGUGAUGGAUGGGGAUGCGUCCGAUUAGCUUGACGGCGGGGUAACGGCCCACCGUGGCACCGAUCGGUAGGGGUUCUGAGAGGAAGGUCCCCCACAUUGGAACUGAGACACGGUCCAAACUCCUACGGGAGGCAGCAGUGAGGAAUAUUGGUCAAUGGGCGCAAGCCUGAACCAGCCAAGUAGCGUGAGGGACGACGGCCCUAUGGGUUGUAAACCUCUUUUAUGCGGGGAUAACCGGUGCCACGCGUGGCGCCCUGCAGGUACCGCAUGAAUAAGGACCGGCUAAUUCCGUGCCAGCAGCCGCGGUAAUACGGAAGGUCCGGGCGUUAUCCGGAUUUAUUGGGUUUAAAGGGAGCGUAGGCCGGCUUUUAAGCGUGUUGUGAAAUGCCGCGGCUCAACCGUGGCACUGCAGCGCGAACUGGAGGCCUUGAGUGCGCGGGAGGUAGGCGGAAUUCGUGGUGUAGCGGUGAAAUGCUUAGAUAUCACGAAGAACUCCGAUUG